GAUGAACGCUGGCGGCGUGCCUAAUACAUGCAAGUCGAGCGAACAGACGAGGAGCUUGCUCCUCUGACGUUAGCGGCGGACGGGUGAGUAACACGUGGAUAACCUACCUAUAAGACUGGGAUAACUCCGGGAAACCGGAGCUAAUACCGGAUAAUAUAUUGAACCGCAUGGUUCAAUAGUGAAAGACGGUUUUGCUGUCACUUAUAGAUGGAUCCGCGCCGCAUUAGCUAGUUGGUAAGGUAACGGCUUACCAAGGCAACGAUGCGUAGCCGACCUGAGAGGGUGAUCGGCCACACUGGAACUGAGACACGGUCCAGACUCCUACGGGAGGCAGCAGUAGGGAAUCUUCCGCAAUGGGAGAAAGCCUGACGGAGCAACGCCGCGUGAGUGAUGAAGGUCUUCGGAUCGUAAAACUCUGUUAUUAGGGAAGAACAAAUGUGUAAGUAACUAUGCACGUCUUGACGGUACCUAAUCAGAAAGCCACGGCUAACUACGUG
rnacentral:rRNA from 1 species